rnacentral:rRNA from 1 species
GAUGAACGCUAGCGACAGGCCUAACACAUGCAAGUCGAGGGGCAGCACAAGGAGCAAUCUGAGGUGGCGACCGGCGCACGGGUGAGUAACACGUAUGCAACCUACCUGUAAGAGGGGAAUAACCCGUUGAAAAACGGACUAAUACCGCAUAACACUGUAGAACCGCAUGGUUUGACAGUUAAACAUUUAUGGCUUACAGAUGGGCAUGCGCAUGAUUAGCUAGUUGGUGAGGUAACGGCUCACCAAGGCAACGAUCAUUAGGGGUUCUGAGAGGAAGGUCCCCCACACUGGUACUGAGACACGGACCAGACUCCUACGGGAGGUAGCAGUGAGGAAUAUUGGUCAAUGGGCGAGAGCCUGAACCAGCCAAGUCGCGUGAAGGAUGAAGGUUUUAUGAAUUGUAAACUUCUUUUGCAGGGGAAUAAAGUGUCCGACGUGUCGGAUUUUGUAUGUACUCUGCGAAUAAGGAUCGGCUAACUCCGUGCCAGCAGCCGAC